rnacentral:rRNA from 1 species
UAGCUAGUUGGUGAGGUAAAGGCUUACCAAGGCGACGAUCUGUAGCGGGUCUGAGAGGAUGAUCCGCCACACUGGAACUGAGACACGGUCCAGACUCCUACGGGAGGCAGCAGUGGGGAAUUUUGGACAAUGGGGGCAACCCUGAUCCAGCCAUGCCGCGUGAGUGAAGAAGGCCUUCGGGUUGUAAAGCUCUUUCGGCCGGGAAGAAAUCGCAUGGGCCAAUACCCUGUGUGGAUGACGGUACCGGAAUAAGAAGCACCGGCUAACUACGUGCCAGCAGCCGCGGUAAUACGUAGGGUGCGAGCGUUAAUCGGAAUUACUGGGCGUAAAGCGUGCGCAGGCGGUUUUGUAAGACAGGCGUGAAAUCCCCGGGCUUAACCUGGGAACUGCGUUUGUGACUGCAAGGCUAGAGUACGGCAGAGGGGGGUGGAAUUCCACGUGUAGCAGUGAAAUGCGUAGAGAUGUGGAGGAACACCAAUGGCGAAGGCAGCCCCCUGGGUCGAUACUGACGCUCAUGCACGAAAGCGUGGGUAGCAAACAGGAUUAGAUACCCUGGUAGUCCACGCCCUAAACUAUGUCAACUAGGUGUUGGGUGGGUAAAACCAUUUAGUACCGUAGCUAACGCGUGAAGUUGACCGCCUGGGGAGUACGGCCGCAAGGUUAAAACUCAAAGGAAUUGACGGGGACCCGCACAAGCGGUGGAUGAUGUGGAUUAAUUCGAUGCAACGCGAAAAACCUUACCUACCCUUGACAUGCCAGGAACUUGCCAGAGAUGGCUUGGUGCCCGAAAGGGAGCCUGGACACAGGUGCUGCAUGGCUGUCGUCAGCUCGUGUCGUGAGAUGUUGGGUUAAGUCCCGCAACGAGCGCAACCCUUGUCGUUAAUUGCCAUCAUUUAGUUGGGCACUUUAACGAGACUGCCGGUGACAAACCGGAGGAAGGUGGGGAUGACGUCAAGUCCUCAUGGCCCUUAUGGGUAGGGCUUCACACGUCAUACAAUGGUCGGUACAAAGGGUUGCCAAGCCGCGAGGCGGAGCCAAUCCCAGAAAGCCGAUCGUAGUCCGGAUUGCAGGCUGCAACUCGCCUGCAUGAAGUCGGAAUCGCUAGUAAUCGUGGAUCAGCAUGUCACGGUGAAUACGUUCCCGGGUCUUGUACACACCGCCCGUCACACCAUGGGAGCGGGUUCCGCCAGAAGUAGGUAGCCUACCGCAAGGGGGGCGCUUACCACGGCGGGGUUCGUGACUGGGGUGAAGUCGUAACAAGGUAGCCGUAGGGGAACCUGCGGCUG